UUUUACAAUCCUUCAAAAGUAGCCUUCAGGAGUAUAAUCCCAGGCUUCAAAAGGAGUUGAAACUUGGGAUUACCAUACACGAUUUAUUCAUGCUUCUUCAUAGCCUGGUUGGAUAGACGACCCCACAGACCUGCAAAUUCGGAGGAAUAAUUACAAAUACGAAGUUAUCAUAUUUUUUUUUUUAUUCUGUCCUUCUCUCCAAGAGUUCACUUGCAGAUCAAGCUGCUCUUUGUACACAAAAUCUCAACUCCAGAUACGUACGAUCCAGAUGUGUCUGUUCUCCAGACUGAAAGUUGGCACACACUCGAUCAAGGUUCUACUUGCAAAAUUUUGAAAUAAGCCAGUCCGCAAAAAGUUUUCGAUUUCGGAAGCUCUGUGCAUACUUCCCAUCAAGUUCUAGGAAACUUCAGGUAUUGUGAAGUGCCAUUUUAAAUAUAGCUAAGCUCCUUUUUUGUGUGUGUGAAAAUAGUACCUAAAAAACUUUUCAAACUUGAAUAAUUUAAUUCUUUAUCCAUCUACACGCAGCAUAAAUCACAUUUGUGUUUGAUGGAUGCUAAGAAUAAUAUAAAUAAACAAAUCCUACUAGUAUAUCAUCAAUCAAUCUCUUAUGCACACAUCCUGAGUUUUUAACUGAAUCAGAUUUUUG